rnacentral:rRNA from 1 species
CAGCGCCACGAGUGGGAGCCGUUAUUAUUGGGCCUAAAGCGUCCGUAGCUGGUUUAAUAAAUUUCCUGUGAAAUCGAUGUACUCAAUAUAUCGACGUGCAGGAAAGACUGUGAAACUAGGGACCGGGAGGCGUCAGAGGUAUUCUGGAGGGAGCGGUAAAAUGCUAUAAUCUCCAGAGGACCCCCUGUGGCGAAGGCGUCUGACGAGAACGGAUCCGACGGUGAGGGACGAAAGACAGGGGAGCGAACCGGAUUAGAUACCCGAGUAGUCC